rnacentral:rRNA from 1 species
UACGUAGGUGACGAGCGUUAUCCGGAUUUACUGGGCGUAAAGCGCUUGUAGGUGGUCUUGUAAGUUGGGCGUGAAAACACCGGGCUUAACUCGGUGACGCCGUCCAAUACUGCGAGGCUGGAGGAUGUCAGAGGAAGGUGGAAUUCCUGGUGUAGUGGUGAAAUGCGCAGAUAUCAGGAGGAACACCGGUGGCGAAGGCGGGUCUCUGGGCCAUAACUGACGCUGAGGAGCGAAAGCGUGGGGAGCAAACAGG